GACGAACGCUGGCGGCGCGCUUAACACAUGCAAGUCGAGCGAGAACCAGCCCUUCGGGGCUGGGGAAAGCGGCGAACGGGUGAGUAACACGUGGGUAAUCUGCCCUCGGCACCGGAAUAGCCCGGGGAAACCCGGAUUAAUGCCGGAUGGCCUCUCCGCCCUUCGGGGCGGUGGGAAACGGUAGCUUCGGCCUCCGGCCGAGGGUGAGCCCGCGGCCGAUUAGCUUGUUGGUGAGGUAACGGCUCACCAAGGCGACGAUCGGUAGCUGGUCUGAGAGGACGAUCAGCCACACUGGGACUGAGACACGGCCCAGACUCCUACGGGAGGCAGCAGUGGGGAAUCUUGCGCAAUGGGCGAAAGCCUGACGCAGCGACGCCGCGUGCGGGAAGAAGGCCUUCGGGUUGUAAACCGCUUUCAGGAGGGACGAAGCCACUCGGGUUAAUAGCCUAGAGGGUGACGGUACCUCCAGAAGAAGCCCCGGCUAACUACGUGCCAGCAGCCGCCGUAACAC
rnacentral:rRNA from 1 species